UGGGCAAAUGAGUCUUGGAUCUGUGGUGUAGAGACACUGGGGUGAAGAUGCAGGUGGUUGUUGGAAAAUAACUUGCAUUGAGCGUGACCAACAUGAGAACCACAUAGAUGUCUACUCACUCAUCAGUGAUCUUCUCGAUGCUACAGUAGUGUGAGUGAUCCUUUGAUCUAUAGUGUCAUUGACUAUUCACAGUGAGGCUACUGGGUUUGAUUGCAUAUUUUCUUGGUUCCUAGCCAUUCAGGUUCUUGAUGUGUAUGUUGGCUUCAGUAGAUUUAGAUUCACUGUUUGGA
rnacentral:lncRNA from 1 species